rnacentral:lncRNA from 1 species
UUAUAAUUUACUUUAUUCCAGAUCCCUCUUUUUCCUUUGACUGUCAUUUCUUUUCCUUCUAGGACUGUUUAAUGGUUUUUCCCUUCAUUGCUGCUUUGUGACCUUCGGUUAAGAGAAUAAAGUUCCCAGACGUCAUGAACUGAUCCAGGGGCAGUGAAAGAAAAAGGAAAAAGAGAAGGAGGGACAGAAAGUGAAACAGAGUGAAGAGAGCAACCACUGUAAACACUCUGUUGUUUCAAUAUUAUUGCCUGUUUUUGACUCAGUUUUCCCCAGUUUUGGGAAAGGAGGGC